CCCUUAGAUGUCCUGGGCUGCACGCGCGCUACACUGAUGCGUCCAAUAAGCACCUAACCUAAUCCGAAGGGACCGGGUAACCUUAGCAAAGCGCAUCGUGAUGGGGAUAGAUUAUUGCAAUUAUUAAUCUUCAACGAGGAAUGCCUAGUAGGCGCAAGUCAUCAGCUUGCGUCGAUUACGUCCCUGCCCUUUGUACACACCGCCCGUCGCUCCUACCGAUUGGGUGUGCUGGUGAAAUGUUCGGAUCGGCCGUUUGUCGCGGUUUCCGCGUCAUGUGGCUGAGAAGUUCAUUAAACCCUCCCACCUAGAGGAAGGAGAAGUCGUAACA
rnacentral:rRNA from 1 species